UUAGCCUGUUACCAUAGAACAGAACAGAACCAACGCAGCCACAGAGAGAGAAGGUGGUGUUAGACAAUCUCCUUCCAUCUACGCCUGGAUGCCUUUAACUCAAAUCAAAUUAAAUAUACAAAAGCACUCGUUGCGGAAGGAGCGAGAAUCAAACAAGAAGAGAAAGGUCUCAGUGCGAUCGAAGGAAGGCUUUCCCAAUAGCGGACACCGGCGUUUUACUGCGCUUCUCUCCGUCUCUGUGAUCAAUGAGCGUGUGUACCUUGCCACUGAGUUUAAUUGCAUGUAAAGAGAUCAGUGCGCAAAGUUGGUGAGACUUUACAGUCGUGUUGCACAUUUUUUUUCUUUGGGAAGGAUUUGUUUCUAGACUUGGUUUCUAUUCUGCCGUGGAUUUUAGAAUAGAUAGCUCAAUUUUCUUUGUCUUUUGGGUGAACGGUGAUUGGAUCUUACGUUUUUUUGUCUGAUGUACUGCUGCUGAGACUCACUGGAAACCAGUCCAACACUUUCAUUGAAAGGAUUCCUUCAAGUGGCGCAGCUUCCCUGCGUGGGAGAUAUGGAUUUGCUUUUGCUAUAGCCCAGACCAAGAAAUUCAAGCGGUUGGCUCUUUUGUCUUUUUCUGUUGUUAUUUUACUGUGAAACAGACCGAAAACUCACAUUUCAACGCAGCAGGCUACCCACCUUUGGAAAUACAACCAUGAACUUUGUUGUCACUUUGAUACAAAUCCUUUUUGCAGCAGUUCUUCAUAUUUCCACUAUAAAGACUGCUAGUAUAAACAAGGAAGACCAGAAGACGGUAAAAGGCGAUAAAAAUGUCGUGGUGUCCUUCAUGCAAGUGUUCAACAAGAGUCGCUGUCAGACGCGGGAGGUGCUGGUGGACAUCUACAAGGAGUACCCCGACAGGAUCGAGCACACCUACAUCCCCGCCUGCGUGAUCCUCAAGCGCUGCUCGGGGUGCUGCAACGACGAGGCCAUGGAGUGUGUUCCCACGCGGACUCGCAACGUCACAAUGGAGGUACUACAAGUCAGAGAGAAAGUAUCACAACAUCUUUCUCAAUUGAGUUUCGUAGAGCAUGAAGAGUGUGACUGCAGACAAAAGCCAGAAGUGAAAAUAAAGAAAGAAAAGGGCAAGGGCCAAAAGAGAAAGAGAAAGAAACAGAGAGACACUGCUGGGAUUGCUGAGGCCUAUGCCAGCUCCACAGGGUGCCUAGGCCAGAGCAUGGUGUCUCUCUUGAUGGUUGGCUUGCUAUCCAAGGAACUCUUUUGGUAUUUUGUAAAUUAAAAUCAAACGAAAACAAUCAAAUCAAAAUGAAAAAGAAUACACAAACUACAACUUUAUGGUCGGACUAAAAUUCCACUUUUUCUCAAUUCUUUCCUAUUUUUUUCUUAUUUUUUUCCAAUAUCUGGCACAAACACUUUGUGCUGUGGAGUUGAUGUGAUAACAAAACGAUUAAUCAGCCGAUGUGAACGUUGCUCAGAGAGAAGAAAUCGCUUCUUUACGCAGGACCCUCUCACCUGUAAAUGCUCCUGCAAAUUCACCCAGUUAGACUGCAAGUCAAGGCGACUUGAGUUAAACGAACGAACUUGCAGAUGUGACAAACCGCGGAGAUGAGAGGAGGUUAAGGGGGUGAGAGGGACAUUGGCAUGAAGGAACUAUUUUCUUGGCACAGCACUUUGAAACACGAGGAUGCAUUCCCUGCAUGGAGUUCAGAUGACAGCGGCAGAGAAAGUGAGCCGGAGAGAAGAACGCUUGGUGGAAACAGAGGUCAGACGGUUGUCUACGUACGUGACCACAGCUCCACCGUGAAGCUCCAGAGAGCCCCUCACAUAGUCCAAAACAGGAAAGAGGCGCGACUUCGGGCCCCGACCUCAGGGCACGCCCUCGGACCGGUUUGCGGACUCUCUGCCUUUUUUCACAGUUGAUCCUUCUCGAAUCACAUGACACAAAGCAAUCAUCUCCCAGGAAUUUGAAUCACGCGGCCCACAAGAUAAAGUGGGGCCGCCGUACGGACCAGGACUUGGAAGCGGACCCCAAUGGGUCCGCUACGAUGCUACGGAUACUUUGCCGGGCCCUCAAGGUGGAAUAGACACUCCAGGUCACCUUGAACUGAAUCACAUGUUCCAGACCCAGAGAAAGACACAGAAAUAGUUCCCUCUCUGAUGUGAUGUCACCUCCAUGGGGUGAUAUGUGUUCAUCACUACUGUACUGACUAACACCCAAUAGGAUUCGGUGUGGAUAAAGAAAUACUUCAUAAGGGAUAUUAAUAUAGGUAUAUAUGGAGAGAAAAUAGUGAUUAGACAAGUUGAUUGCAGUCUCCACGAGUAAGAGUGGAUCUCAAUGCGCCACUGAAGAAAUUGGUUGACCUCCGCUUUUCCUUAUUUAAAUUGUAUGCUAUGUAUGUUUUCCAAAGAAAUAAUUGUACAUCGACGAAAGUACAGGUCAAUCUAAAGCUUAAGUAACGAUCCGUGUAUACCUGAUAUCCCUUUGUAAUGUACACUACGUCUAAUUUAUAAAGCUAGAAUAUUUUGAGUAUUCUAUGUAUUUAAGUUGAUAUACAGUAUUUAUAUGCAUUGUUAUGGUUAAUUUCUAUUCACCUGUCGGCGUUUUAAAAAAUGUGUCAACUUGACUGUGGAUGACUGUAAACGACGUUUUUUUUUGUAUGAAAAAAAGAGUGCAGAAACGUAACACUUUGACAUUCCUGAAAGAGACGAAGAAAAAAAAAAACGAACGAACGCUAGCAGCGUGAUUUGUGUUGCUAGAAGGAACCGACAGUUAAUCUCCUGACCGCCAGUAACCAGCAAGAAAUGAUGCGCCAACACAGGUGUUUGUUAUACAUUUUUUGUUUUGGACCGGCAGUCAGGACAUGUGUUUUUGCACUCAAGUGCCCUGAGACACGUCAUACAGAGGAGCGGACGAGUGUGGCGGACGUCAAUCAACAUCGCACACAUGGACUGGAUUCGUUCUGUCAGACACACACACACACACACACACAUACACACACAUACACACUCUCAUGCCAACAAACACA